CGCGGAAGCGUAGCACCCAUCCUCCGGUUCCCCCUCAGACUAUCUCUAUGGGUGGCUGAAGCAGAAAACAUGAAGGCUUUCUUUCCCGUCUUUGUCCGUACAAUUUGAGAGCGACACUGAGAACAACAGAUUUGUCACCAACGUUACUGGAGGCCAACAAUGAGGGGUUAUGAAGUUCAGUAUGGUUCAAUAUGACAGGUAGUAGAAAAAUAUUAUUAUCAAAGUUCUGAAAUACAUGAGCUGAGAAAGAUGCGAGGUCAGCAGAGUUGCGAAGGAGAUGACUUCUAACUGUUUAUGUGCAAUGUACCGUACAUUACCACUGGAAAGCACCAUCAUGACACAUAUUUUUAUUUCAUAAUCCGAGUGUUUGUUCUUUGCCUCUGCUCUCUUGUGAGUCCCAAAAAGUAUGGAAGUGCAGUGGACUGCCCCUUUAAAUGAUUAGAUACCAGAUAAAGCUCUGCCCCCUGUUGUAAAAAUGAAAACAUUGCAAGUUAAAAUGUCCUCACUGUUUUUUUCCAAAUGACAAGUCAAAUGAAGGAAUUAUCAAGCGAUA